CCCAUAGGCGAGGAUGAGCUCGUCUCUCACAUCAUAGCCGGGCUUGAUAUGGACUAUCAGCCCAUCAUCUUUGCCCUCGACGACCAAACUGACACAGUUUCUGUUGACGAUCUCUUCGCGAUGGUGUCCAACUUUGAUC
rfam:Triticum aestivum genome assembly, contig: Triticum_aestivum_CS42_TGACv1_scaffold_064934_1DL